UGGGGAAUUUUGGACAAUGGGCGAAAGGCCUGAUCCAGCAAUGCCGCGUGUGUGAAGAAGGCCUUCGGGUUGUAAAGCACUUUUGUCCGGAAAGAAAUCCUUGGCUCUAAUACAGUCGGGGGAUGACGGUACCGGAAGAAUAAGCACCGGCUAACUACGUGCCAGCAGCCGCGGUAAUACGUAGGGUGCAAGCGUUAAUCGGAAUUACUGGGCGUAAAGCGUGCGCAGGCGGUUUGCUAAGACCGAUGUGAAAUCCCCGGGCUCAACCUGGGAACUGCAUUGGUGACUGGCAGGCUAGAGUAUGGCAGAGGGGGGUAGAAUUCCACGUGUAGCAGUGAAAUGCGUAGAGAUGUGGAGGAAUACCGAUGGCGAAGGCAGCCCCCCUGGGCCAAUACUGACGCUCAUGCACGAAAGCGUGGGGGAGCAAACAGGAUUAGAUACCCUGGUAGUCCACGCCCUAAAACGAUGUCAACUAGUUGUUGGGGGACUUCAUUUUCCUUAGGUAACGUAGCUAACGCGUGAAGUUGACC
rnacentral:rRNA from 1 species